GGGGCCCUUCGGGGUCUUAACUAUAAAUGAUAAAAUAUUAAUCAGCAUAAUUCGAUAUAAAUUUGUGUCUACAAAAACAAUCAACUGUAUCCAAAACCAGUGUGCAUAUAUCAAAUAAUGUAUGUUCACUUAACUGACAAGCAUUUUUGGAUGGAGUGAGUACAUAAUACCUUAAAAAAAUUAACCAUUUUGUAUCAUGAAAACGCU
rnacentral:lncRNA from 1 species